rnacentral:rRNA from 1 species
UACGUAGGGUGCAGGCGUUAAUCGGAAUUACUGGGCGUAAAGCGUGCGCAGGCGGUUUGCUAAGAGAGAUGUGAAAUCCCCGGGCUUAACCUGGGAACUGCGUUUCUAACUGGCAGGCUUGAGUGUGGCAGAGGGGGGUGGAAUUCCACGUGUAGCAGUGAAAUGCGUAGAGAUGUGGAGGAACACCGAUGGCGAAGGCAGCCCCCUGGGCUAACACGUGACGCUCGAUGCACGAAAGCGUGGGGAGCAAACGGG